ACAAAAUAGAGAAUUUAAAAAUUAAGUAUAAGUGUUACUGACGCAGACUUCUACAAGUUUGGAUAGGAGCUAUCUAGCACAUGCAAUAUAUAGCAAGAACAAGCAGACCUUACAAGUUAAUAGUGUUGUCAAACACAUCGUCCAUGCCAUAAAGAUCAAGUAAUCGUUAUAGCUCAGAUAUUGAUAUUGAUAUCUACUACUGUUUAGGUACCAUAGUUUGUUUUCUCUUCUUAGGACUUCUACUCAUGUAUAAAAGGAUAGGUGAACAAUUGAGAUUGACUUCAGAAAAUAGAAAAAUCUCUUCUAUUUCUUGAGUCAAUGCAUCAUAAGUGCAAGCACACAUGACUUCAGAAAAUAGCAGGACCAUGAGAGCGGCAACGCCGACGAUCUUGAUGGGCAUGCCGGUGACCACCAUGUCCUUUAUGGUGAUGUAGCCGGUGCUGAACCACACCACAACCUGGGUGGAGUGAGAGAACAAAGAUCAACUACCGCCUCAACCCAUAAAUAAAAGAAAAACCAAAUAGAAUUAAAAAGUUAAGUAUGGGUGCUACUGGAGUUGACUACUAUAUAGUGCCAAAACAAACAACUAAUGAGACAACACUCCACACCACCAACUUACCAGUUAGGACCAAGUGGCACUACAAGCUCCAUACAUCCAUCAAUCGAUAUUCUCGCCCUCCACAAGAUCAAACUUCGCGAUAGCUGAGGGUCCAUGCAACUUCCUAGGCACACACACACACACACACACACACACACACACACGCACAAAUAGAGAGAGAGAGCAUGAUUAACUGGUGUCAUCAACCCACAUAACAAAAUAGAGAAUUUAAAAAUUAAGUAUAAGUGCCACUGACGCAGACUUCUACAAGUUUGGAUAGGAGCUAUCUAGCACAUGCAAUAUAUAGCAAGAACAAGCAGACCUUACAAGUUAAUAGUGUUGUCAAACACAUCGUCCAUGCCAUAAAGAUCAAGUAAUCGUUAUAGCUCAGAUAUUGAUAUUGAUAUCUACUACUGUUUAGGUACCAUAGUUUGUUUUCUCUUAUUAGGACUUCUACUCAUGUAUAAAAN
rnacentral:lncRNA from 1 species